rnacentral:tRNA from 4 species
CGGGCUGUGGCGCAGUUGGUAGCGCGCAUCGUUCGGGACGAUGAGGUCGGCGGUUCAAGUCCGCCCAGCCCGACCA